GGAGAAAUACUCAAGUGGCUGAAGAGGAUGCCCUGCUAAGGCGUUAGUACGAGUUUUUUCGUAGCGAGGGUUCAAAUCCCUCUUUCUCCGCCA
rnacentral:tRNA from 1 species